GAUGAACGCUGGCGGCGUGCUUAACACAUGCAAGUCGAACGGAAAGGCCCAAGCUUGCUUGGGUACUCGAGUGGCGAACGGGUGAGUAACACGUGGGUGAUCUGCCCUGCACUUCGGGAUAAGCCUGGGAAACUGGGUCUAAUACCGGAUAGGACCACAUUGUGGAUGGUGUGGUGGAAAGUUUUUCGGUGUGGGAUGAGCUCGCGGCCUAUCAGCUUGUUGGUGGGGUAAUGGCCUACCAAGGCGUCGACGGGGAGCCGGCCUGAGAGGGUGUACGGCGACACUGUGACUGAGAGACGGCGCAGACUCCUACGGGAGGCAGCAGUGGGGAAUAUUGCACAAUGGGCGCAAGCCUGAUGCAGCGAGGCCGCGUGGGGGAUGACGGCCUUCGGGUUGUAAACUCCUUUCGCUACGGACGAAGCGUGUUUGUGACGGUACCUGGAGAAGAAGCACCGGCUAACUACGUG
rnacentral:rRNA from 1 species